rnacentral:pre_miRNA from 1 species
AUAAUACUCCCUCCGUCCCAAAAUUCUUGUCUUAGAUUUGUCUAGAUACAAAUGUAUCUAGUUACGUUUUAGUGUUAGAUACAUCCGUAUCUAGACAAAUCUAAGACAAGAAUUUUGGGACGGAGGGAGUACUAA